UUGUCAACACCGCGCAUAGGAGUGUAGUUGUGCGUCUGCUACUACCUAGGGCUUCUGGUUUCACUUUAGGAUGAACAUCCUCUUUAAAUAAAGCGGCUCCUUGCGGCUUGGAUGUAUUGCUUACCUGUCGCUGGCUUCUGCAUCGUAAAUUUUCGCCGGCGUCGACUACUACAUAACUGUUUGCCUUCAUGAAUCUCCCCUCGCCUUGCUGCCGUAUGUGUAUCGGCUUAAUGAAACAUCAGGCAACUCGGUCUCGGCUUUGAACUCCACAGCCUCAUGUAGUAUGAAUGGAUUGGAAUUCAUUAGAAAGAAAUAAUGA